rnacentral:tRNA from 1 species
CCCCUCGUAGCUCAAUGGAUAGAGCAACGGCCUUCUAAUCCGUCGGUUACUGGUUCGAGUCCAGUCGAGGGGGCCA